UGCACUGAGCUCCAUCUCCACCCCUUUUUGUUUUUAAUUUUGAGACAGGGUCCCACUAACUCCCCAACAUCCCCAGGUAGGGCUCCUAGUUGUGAUCUUCCUGCCUCAGCCUCCCAGCGUGCUGCGGUAACAGGCCUGCGGGGGCGGCAGUCACACGACUCACACAUUUGUCACAACUCAAAGACCUGCCCACUGCGGGUAGGGUGAGCGUGGCUGCGUGUCAACAACACUUGUAUCACAAACCUGGCCUGAAGGGCGCACUGGGGGUGGGGGUGGGGUGGCCUCCUGUCCCCUGACCUCUGGCUCCACCAGUGCAGACGCUGCCAUUUCCGCCUGGUCUGGUUUUCAAAUCACAUCCGUCCCUGACAGUCCCACAGUCAGUCUGCAAACUCUGCCACAGAGACAGCAAACUGUCACCGCAGUGAGUGGCAACCACGGGUGUGGCCUGGCCGCUUCCUAGGACGCCGUGUCCCCAAAGCCCCCGGAUGCCAUACGCAGGUGGGCAUGGGGAGGGACACUGGAACCUGCUUGUCUCCACCGCUCCCGAGGCCCAGAGCGACACUCCAGAAAUAGCCGCACUAAUUCCUCCCGAGGGCAGAAGGCAGGGGACACGGGCAUAAAUAACUGCGUGGCCGCAGCGACCGUCCCCAGGCCAGCACCGGCCCUGCCAGCUGCUGGAUGUCCGUCUCCCUGCGAUGUGCCCAGGCCAGCCUCCAGCAGGGACAGCGGCUGCUCUCGCUCUAGUCACCAACUCAGAGGCAGCCCAGGUCCUUCAAGGUCAAGCUCCAGAGCCCCCUCCGGGCAAAGCCUUCCCUAAUCCCUCAGCACCAGCCACUCCUUCUGCCAUCACAGACAUGGUCCUUCCUCAGGGACCCAUGGCUUCCUGCAAUAAGGACCUCCAGGCCAUUGUGGAUGGCAGGGCUGGUGACACUUCACAACUCUAGGGGGAGUUUGUUUAUGUCACAGUCUGAGUGAAACAUGCCUGCAGAAUUGAGCAGUAUACAACCUGUGCAACUGCACAUGACAGUCUUGAGUGCUUUCCACAGCCUAUAUUACCAAGACCACUUUGGCAGUUUGCAUCCUUCAGCAGACUUGUGCUCUCAGGCGGGGGCACUCGGUCCUCUACACACACACCCAGAACCUGACACUGCCUGGACCUAGACUCCAUGACUACGCAUCUCAGCAGGGUCUUGCUUUGCACCCUGACUUGGCCUCGAAGUUGCAAUCUUCCUGCCUCAGCCUCCCGAAUGCUGAGAUUACAGGUCCCCACCCCUACAUAGCCAUAACGGCAGACAAGGCGGGAGAGAGCGUCUGGGACAUCGUGUGCUCCUAACACAAGCCUGGCUGCAGGCCAGGUGUCCAUCGGCAGGAGUACAGCAGAACGACAACAGCAGGAUUACCCGCUUGACACCAACGAGCCAUGGGGACGAGCCCAGCUGGUGAUAGCACAGGAGGUGGAAAAACAAGUUCCCAGUGUCACGUACAGCAUGGUGCCCUCUCUACAGAGUUAAAGCAGCCUUGAUUGAAAAAUACACCUCAAGGGCUGGGGAUAUAGCUCAGCGGCGUAAGUGCUUGCCUGGCAAGCCUGAAGUCAUGAGUUCGAUUCCUGGUGCCCCCCAAAAAAGAAAAAAGAAAAAAGGAAAGAAAAAAUGAGGCUGGGCCUGUUGGGGAAAGCCCAUGAGCCAAGCCCUCUGGAGGCUGAGGCAGGAAGAUUGCCAAG